rnacentral:rRNA from 1 species
GAGGAAUAUUGCGCAAUGGGCGAAAGCCAGACGCAGCAACGCCGCGUGGAGGAAGACGGCCUUCGGGUUGUAAACUCCUUUUCUGGGGGAAGAACGAGACGGUACCUCAGGAAGAAGUCUCGGCUAACUACGUGCCAGCAGCCGCGGUAAAACGUAGGAGACGAGCGUUAUCCGGAUUUACUGGGCGUAAAGCGCGCGCAGGCGGUUGGGCAAGUCGUGCGUGAAAGCUCCUGGCUUAACCGGGAGAGGUCGUACGAAACUGCUCGACUGGAGGGCAGGCGAGGGGUGUGGAAUUCCGGGUGUAGUGGUGAAAUGCGUAGAUAUCCGGAGGAACACCAGUGGCGAAGGCGACACCCUGGACUGUACCUGACGCUCAGACGCGAAAGCAUGGGGAGCGAACGG